UACGUAGGGUGCAAGCGUUGUCCGGAAUUAUUGGGCGUAAAGAGCUCGUAGGCGGUUCGUCGCGUCGGCUGUGAAAACCUGAGGCUCAACCUCAGGCCUGCAGUCGAUACGGGCGGACUUGAGUACUGCAGGGGAGACUGGAAUUCCUGGUGUAGCGGUGAAAUGCGCAGAUAUCAGGAGGAACACCGGUGGCGAAGGCGGGUCUCUGGGCAGUAACUGAC
rnacentral:rRNA from 1 species